rnacentral:tRNA from 1 species
GGAGGUGUGCCAGAGUGGUCGAAUGGGGCGGUCUCGAAAACCGUUGAACCGUUCUGCGGUUCCGGGGGUUCGAAUCCCUCCACCUCCG